rnacentral:lncRNA from 1 species
UUCACAAUAUCUUUUAAAAGAAAUUAAUUGACUACUAGUUUUUUAGUGUAACAUAGACACUCACAUGAUGAUAAAUCGAAGUCCGCGGUUGACUAAGCUUCUUUCGGUGUUGGUAUCAUCCAUCUGCAAAAAAAAAAAAAAAAAAAAAAAAAAAAAAAAAAAAAAGUUAAAUCUAGUCUCAAAAGAAAAAAUCAUGGGCUUACAAAACUUUUUCUUUAGAACAUUUUUCUGCAGUUUUAUAUAUAUAUAAACGUAAAUAUCAGUAAUGAUAUGAUUAACCAGGAAAGAAAGGCAUGCGUAGCCAAAAAGAGAUAAAAACGUGGGAGAGUCUAAAGGGUGAGCCACUGCAUUAGGUUAUCAAAACUCGUCUUGAGAUUUGCUUAGAAGAAUGACCGUGAUUAUACCUAUAUUUAAAUCCAUGGUUAAAUAUAAUACCAACUAAGAAAAGUUGUAUCAAUAAAUUUAUGUGGAUUUGCAGAGUAUUUUCGUUUCUAUGACGAAUACCAAAAAAACACACACAGAGAUGUAUAUCCACAAAAUAUAAAACACUAAGAAGAAAGAUUGAUUGAGUAUACUCACCGAUGAUAGUUUUAGUGACAACAACGUAAAUGGUGACGAAGAGUCGAAGACUAGAUACGGUGAAAAGAAGAGAGCUAGAGAAUUACUUUAAUAAAAAUAUUUCUGUUAAUUA